UCCUGCAAAUUCUAGUAAACAGGUGUCUCUCCCUCCCACCUGUCUUGAAAGCCCCUGUUUUCAGAGUCCACUUUUCGUUUGGCCAUUUCUUUUGAGGUGAAUUCUGACGUCUCAUGAGUGUGCAAUAAAGCAGUAGGAAGGUGCAGAUAACAACAUAAUGUCUUGGUGCUCUGGCUGAUGCAGUACAUUCUGGGACUUGGAGUAUCAGCGGUGUAUGUCUUAUACAGACAGCGAUCAUCAGUUUUGACUAUCUGACUGCUUUCAAACAUUUGGAAUAUGGCACAGAGGAAUACUGGGCUCUCAGGUCUAAGGUAGGUAAACACUUGCCAUUUGUUUGACAAAACGAGGGCUCACUGGAGAUUAUUGUUCUUGUUUAUUUCUAUGAAAUAUUGCGGAAUGUCUUAUUGUUUAGACCACUUUCUAUUUAACAAGCUUUGUCAACUCAUGAAAAACAAUGGUUUACCUAUAGCUCCAAUGAAAGUAGCAAUGAAAAGAAAAUGCCCUGCUGGUUCUCUGAUGGAAACAUGUUUAAGUGAAAAAGCAGCAUUAGCAGUCAUUAAUUUAGUUGAGAUAUAAAGAUAAACUCUGUUCGGGCGCUAGUUCUGUAAUAAGAUUAGGUUCACAUUGGUGUGAUGGACGUGUGUGUGUG